rnacentral:rRNA from 1 species
AGUGAACGCUGGCGGUAGGCCUAACACAUGCAAGUCGAACGGCAGCACAGUAAGAGCUUGCUCUUACGGGUGGCGAGUGGCGGACGGGUGAGGAAUACAUCGGAAUCUACUUAUUCGUGGGGGAUAACGUAGGGAAACUUACGCUAAUACCGCAUACGACCUACGGGUGAAAGCAGGGGAUCUUCGGACCUUGCGCGAUUGAAUGAGCCGAUGUCGGAUUAGCUAGUUGGCGGGGUAAAGGCCCACCAAGGCGACGAUCCGUAGCUGGUCUGAGAGGAUGAUCAGCCACACUGGAACUGAGACACGGUCCAGACUCCUACGGGAGGCAGCAGUGGGGAAUAUUGGACAAUGGGCGCAAGCCUGAUCCAGCCAUACCGCGUGGGUGAAGAAGGCCUUCGGGUUGUAAAGCCCUUUUGUUGGGAAAGAAAAGCAGCAGGUUAAUACCCCGCUGUUCUGACGGUACCCAAAGAAUAAGCACCGGCUAACUUCGUA